GAGGCAGGAAGAGCGGUCUGUCUCUACAGGUAGAAGAGACAGGAAGAGCGGUCUGUCUCUACAGGUAGAAGAGGCAGGAAGAGCGGUCUGUCUCUACAGGUAGAAGAGGCAGGAAGAGCGGUCUGUCUCUACAGGUAGAAGAGACAGGAAGAGCGGUCUGUCUCUACAGGUAGAAGAGGCAGGAAGAGCGGUCUGUCUCUACAGGUAGAAGAGGCAGGAAGAGCGGUCUGUCUCUACAGGUAGAAGAGACAGGAAGAGCGGUCUGUCUCUACAGGUAGAAGAGGCAGGAAGAGCGGUCUGUCUCUACAGGUAGAAGAGGCAGGAAGAGCGGUCUGUCUCUACAGGUAGAAGAGACAG